rnacentral:rRNA from 1 species
AUUGAACGCUGGCGGCAUGCCUUACACAUGCAAGUCGAACGGUAACAGGGAGCUUGCUCCGCUGACGAGUGGCGAACGGGUGAGUAAUGUAUCGGAACGUACCAUUCAGUGGGGGAUAACGUAGCGAAAGUUACGCUAAUACCGCAUAUUCUGUGAGCAGGAAAGCAGGGGAUCGCAAGACCUUGCGCUGAUUGAGCGGCCGAUAUCAGAUUAGCUAGUUGGUGAGGUAAAGGCUCACCAAGGCGACGAUCUGUAGCGGGUCUGAGAGGAUGAUCCGCCACACUGGAACUGAGACACGGUCCAGACUCCUACGGGAGGCAGCAGUGGGGAAUUUUGGACAAUGGGGGCAACCCUGAUCCAGUCAUGCCGCGUGAGUGAAGAAGGCCUUCGGGUUGUAAAGCUCUUUCGGCCGGGAAAAAAUCGCAUCAGUUAAUACCUGGUGUGGAUGAUGGUACCGGAAUAAGAAGCACCGGCUAACUACGUG